AGCCCUUCGGGGUGGAUUAGUGGCGAACGGGUGAGUAACACGUGGGCAAUCUGCCCUUCACUCUGGGACAAGCCCUGGAAACGGGGUCUAAUACCGGAUAACACUCUGUCCUGCAUGGGACGGGGUUAAAAGCUCCGGCGGUGAAGGAUGAGCCCGCGGCCUAUCAGCUUGUUGGUGGGGUAAUGGCCUACCAAGGCGACGACGGGUAGCCGGCCUGAGAGGGCGACCGGCCACACUGGGACUGAGACACGGCCCAGACUCCUACGGGAGGCAGCAGUGGGGAAUAUUGCACAAUGGGCGAAAGCCUGAUGCAGCGACGCCGCGUGAGGGAUGACGGCCUUCGGGUUGUAAACCUCUUUCAGCAGGGAAGAAGCGCAAGUGACGGUACCUGCAGAAGAAGCACCGGCUAACUACGUGCCAGCAGCCGCGGUAAUACGUAGGGUGCGAGCGUUGUCCGGAAUUAUUGGGCGUAAAGAGCUCGUAGGCGGCUUGUCACGUCGGAUGUGAAAGCUCGGGGCUUAACCCCGAGUCUGCAUUCGAUACGGGCUAGCUAGAGUGUGGUAGGGGAGAUCGGAAUUCCUGGUGUAGCGGUGAAAUGCGCAGA
rnacentral:rRNA from 1 species